CGAGGGGUACGUCCAGGGUAGGAGUGAAAUCCUGUAAUCCUGGACGGACCGCCGGUGGCGAAAGCGCCUCGAGAAGACGGAUCCGACGGUGAGGGACGAAAGCUUGGGUCACGAACCGGAUUAGAUACCCGGGUAGUCCAAGCUGUAAACGAUGCUCGCUAGGUGUGGCACAGGCUACGAGCCUGUGCUGUGCCGUAGGGAAGCCGAGAAGCGAGCCGCCUGGGAAGUACGUCUGCAAGGAUGAAACUUAAAGGAAUUGGCGGGGGAGCACUACAACCGGAGGAGCCUGCGGUUUAAUUGGACUCAACGCCGGACAUCUCACCAGCUCCGACAGUAGCAGUGACAGUCAGUGUGAUGAGCUUACCAGAGCUACUGAGAGGAGGUGCAUGGCCGCCGUCAGCUCGUACCGUGAGGCGUCCUGUUAAGUCAGGCAACGAGCGAGACCCGCAUCCUUAAUUGCCAGCAUGGCCCUUGUGGCUGAUGGGUACAUUAGGGAGACUGCCGCUGCCAAAGCGGAGGAAGGAACGGGCAACGGUAGGUCAGUAUGCCCCGAAUGAGCUGGGCGACACGCGGGCUACAAUGGCCGAGACAGUGGGACGCAACGCCGAGAGGCGACGCUAAUCUCCUAAACUCGGUCGUAGUUCGGAUUGAGGGCUGAAACUCGCCCUCAUGAAGCUGGAUUCGGUAGUAAUCGCGCCUCAGCAGGGCGCGGUGAAUACGUCCCUGCUCCUUGCACACACCGCCCGUCAAAGCACCCGAGUGAGGUCCGGAUGAGGCCAGGACUCCUGGUCGAAUCUGGGCUUCGCAAGGGGGCUUAAGUCGUAACAAGGUAGCCGUAGGGGAAUCUGCGGCUG
rnacentral:rRNA from 1 species